rnacentral:rRNA from 1 species
AGUAGAGUGGCAGACGGGUGAGUAAUACUUGGGAAUCUGCCUAGUAGUGGGGGAUAACUCGGGGAAACUCGAGCUAAUACCGCAUACGCCCUACGGGGGAAAGAUUUAUCGCUAUUAGAUGAGCCCAAGUCAGAUUAGCUAGUUGGUAGGGUAAUGGCCUACCAAGGCGACGAUCUGUAGCUGGUCUGAGAGGACGAACAGCCACACUGGGACUGAGACACGGCCCAG